UACGUAAAAGACUAGUGUUAUUCAUCUUUAAUAGGUUUAAAGGGUCCGUAGACGGUAAAAUUCCAUCUGAAAUAGGAUAUGUUUUUACUAGAGUUUAUUAUGAGGAGGCGAGUAUUCAUGGAGGAGAGUUGAAAUUUUGUGAUCCCAUGACGACUGGUAAGGGCGAAAGCAACCUUUUAUCUAAUAACUGACGUUGAGGGACGAAGGCUUGGGUCGCGAACAGG
rnacentral:rRNA from 1 species